rnacentral:rRNA from 1 species
CGGGGUGAGUAACGCGUAGGUAUCUAUCCUUGGGUGGGGGGACAACUGUGGGAAACUACAGCUAAUACCGCAUGACGACCGAGGUCCAAAGCUUGUGAGAGCGCCUGAGGAGGAGCCUGCGUACGAUUAGCUAGUUGGUGGGGUAAAGGCCUACCAAGGCUGUGAUCGUUAGCUGGUCUGAGAGGAUGAUCAGCCACAUUGGGACUGAGACACGGCCCAA